rnacentral:rRNA from 1 species
GACGAACGCUGGCGGCGUGCUUAACACAUGCAAGUCGAACGGUGAUGCUCCAGCUUGCUGGAGUGGAUCAGUGGCGAACGGGUGAGUAACACGUGAGCAACCUGCCCCAGACUCUGGAAUAAGCGCUGGAAACGGCGUCUAAUACUGGAUACGAAACUGGCCCGCAUGGGCAUGGUUUGGAAAGUUUUUCGGUUUGGGAUGGGCUCGCGGCCUAUCAGCUUGUUGGUGAGGUAAUGGCUCACCAAGGCGACGACGGGUAGCCGGCCUGAGAGGGCGACCGGCCACACUUGGACUGAGACACGGCCCAGACUCCUACGGGAGGCAGCAGUGGGGAAUAUUGCACAAUGGGCGAAAGCCUGAUGCAGCGACGCCGCGUGAGGGAUGACGGCCUUCGGGUGGUAAACCUCUUUCAGCAGGGAAGAAGCGAAAGUGACGGUACCUGCAGAAGAAGCACCGGCUAACUACGU